rnacentral:rRNA from 1 species
CCUACGGGAGGCAGCAGUGGGGAAUAUUGGGCAAUGGGCGCAAGCCUGACCCAGCAACGCCGCGUGAAGGAAGAAGGCUUUCGGGUUGUAAACUUCUUUUCUCAGGGACGAAGAAAGUGACGGUACCUGAGGAAUAAGCCACGGCUAACUACGUGCCAGCAGCCGCGGUAAUACGUAGGUGGCAAGCGUUAUCCGGAUUUAUUGGGUGUAAAGGGCGUGUAGGCGGGAGCGCAAGUCAGAUGUGAAAACUCAGGGCUCAACCCUGAGCCUGCAUUUGAAACUGUGUUUCUGGAGUGCAGGAGGGGCAGGCGGAAUUCCUGGUGUAGCGGUGAAAUGCGUAGAUAUCAGGAGGAACACCGGUGGCGAAGGCGGCCUGCUGGACUGCAACUGACGUUGAGGCCCGAAAGCGUGGGGAGCAAACAGGAUUAGAUACCCUGGUAGUC